CAGUAGCCACGGUAAUACAGAGGGUGCGAGCGUUAAUCGGAUUUACUGGGCGUAAAGCGUGCGUAGGCGGCUUCUUAAGUCGGAUGUGAAAUCCCUGAGCUUAACUUAGGAAUUGCAUUCGAUACUGGGAAGCUAGAGUAUGGGAGAGGAUGGUAGAAUUCCAGGUGUAGCGGUGAAAUGCGUAGAGAUCUGGAGGAAUACCGAUGGCGAAGGCAGCCAUCUGGCCUAAUACUGACGCUGAGGUACGAAAGCAUGGGGAGCAAACAGGAUUAGAUACCCCUGUAGUCCAUGUCUCUUAUAC
rnacentral:rRNA from 1 species